rnacentral:rRNA from 1 species
UACGUAGGGUGCGAGCGUUAAUCGGAAUUACUGGGCGUAAAGCGUGCGCAGGCGGUUUUGUAAGCCAGAUGUGAAAUCCCCGGGCUUAACCUGGGAAUGGCAUUUGGGACUGCAAGGCUGGAGUGCGGCAGAGGAGACUGGAAUUCCUGGUGUAGCAGUGAAAUGCGUAGAUAUCAGGAGGAAUACCGAUGGCGAAGGCAGGUCUCUGGGCUGACACUGACGCUCAUGCACGAAAGCGUGGGGAGCAAACAAG